UAAAGUCGUUUCCGAGGGCGACCACAACGACGGUUUCAUCAACGUUCACGAUAACAUUCGCGAGAGCACAACCGAUCUCCUGACACUGAUGUGGAAAUGGAUUGAUGGUUAUCCGGUUUGCAUAUCCACUCACUAAAUUAAUGCCAUAAUUGAUUGGUUAUGACCGUACUAGUUUCCAACGGAUGAACCCAUUGCGUAUACUCGUCUUGGUUCUUGCCGAUCCGGAGUUCAAGACGACGACCCAUCGCGAUGGAGUGGUGCCGCUCUCCAGCACACCAGCGCGAGCGAGCGAUGGCGGCCGGCUCCGACCCGAAGCACCCCCUGGCGCACGAUACCGCCGGUACCUCUAGCACGGCAUGGCGCCGAUGGUGCUAUCCGCGUGUCGGUCGUGUGUGAAAGGGAUGGAAGCUACUUGGGGUUUUCUACUCCUGGUCGUUCUUCUUGGCAUUUCCUGACACGCGUUAGUUAACGUGUAUUUUUUGAACUCAC
rnacentral:lncRNA from 1 species